ACUGAUUCUCUUUUUCCCCUGGCUCAAGGC
rnacentral:piRNA from 1 species